rnacentral:rRNA from 1 species
AUUGAACGCUGGCGGCAGGCCUAAUACAUGCAAGUCGAGCGGAGCGGCUGACGGGCGAGUAAUGCCUAUGAAUCUACUUGGCAGUGUGGUGUAACGUCCGGAAACGGGAUGCAAUCUCGUACUUUAUCAGAUGAGUCAAGGUCGGAUGAGAGAGUUGGUGGGUUACAGGCCUACCUAGGCGACCAUGCGUAACUGGUCUGAGAGGAUGAUCAGUCACAGUGGGACUGGGAUGCGGUGCCGAAUCCUACGGGAGGCAGCGGUGGGAACUCUUGGACAAUGGGCGGAAGCCUGGUCCAGCCAUGGCGCGUGUGUGAGGAGGAUCUUCGGAUUGUAAAGGACUAUAAGUUGGGGGGCGUUACCAACAGAAUAAGCACCGGCUAACUUCGUGCUAGCCGCCGCGGUAAUAC